GUGCUCACUUCGGCAGCACAUAUACUAAAAUGGGAACGAUACAGAGAAGAUUAGCGUGGCCCCUGCGCAAGGAUGACACGCAAAUUCAUGAAGCGUUCCACAUUUAA
rnacentral:snRNA from 1 species